rnacentral:rRNA from 1 species
AGGACGAACGCUGGCGGCGUGCCUAACACAUGCAAGUCGAGCGGGACAUUCGACGGACCGGAAGUUUCGGGAUGGAAGGGAAGAUGAAUGUCCUAGCGGCGGACGGGUGAGUAACGCGUGAGCAACCUGCCUUCACAGGGGGAUAACACAGCGAAAGUUGUACUAAUACCGUAUAAGACCACGGCGGGGCAUCCCGAAAGGGGUCAAAGGAGCAAUCCGGUGAAGGGUGGGCUCGCGUCCGAUUAGAUAGUUGGUGAGGUAACGGCCCACCAAGUCGACGAUCGGUAGCCGACCUGAGAGGGUGAUCGGCCACAUUGGGACUGAGACACGGCCCAAACUCCUACGGGAGGCAGCAGGUGGGGAAUAUUGGGCAAAUGGGGGAAACCCUGACCCAGCAACGCCGCGUGAGGGAAGAAGGUUUUCGGAUCGUAAACCUCUGUCCUUGGUGGAGAGGAAGAGACGGUAGCCAAGGAGGAAGCCCCGACUAACUACGUGCCAGCCGCCGC